rfam:Apaloderma vittatum contig21849, whole genome shotgun sequence.
GGACUGGUUAGCUCAGUCAGUUGAGCGUGGGGCUAACAACGCCAAGGUUGCGGGCUUGAUUCCCGUUUCGUCCA